rnacentral:rRNA from 1 species
CGCUUUUUGUGUUUAUUAGAUAAGAAGUCGGGCCUGCCCGGUGAUUUGUACGAUUAAACGGCUGCAACGUGAGUUGUACUAAGGUAGCGUGAUAAUUUGUCCUUUAAUUGGGGAAUGGUAUGAAAGGUUUGACGUGGAUGAGUUGUCUCUAGAAAAAUUAUUGAAGUUUCCUUUUAAAUGAAAAGGUUUAAAUUUUUGUAAAAGACGAGAAGACCCUGGCGAGCUGAAUUAGGCGUGAAAUUUUUCUAUACAAAAUGGUUAAUAGAUUAUAAAAUUUGAGGUUGAAUUUUGGUUGGGGAGAGCUAAACUUAAGAGAAUAGGUUUGAGACAGACAUAGAUCCUCUUUGAGAGAUAAUCGGUAAAAAGCUACCGCAGGGAUAACAGCGUAAUUUUUCUUGGGAGAUCGUAUUGAGGGAAAAGUUUGCGACCUCGAUGUUGGAUUAGGAAAACUUUUUGGUGCAGCAGCUAAAAGUGGUAAGACUGUCGUCUCUUUAAUUUUCU